rnacentral:rRNA from 1 species
GAUGAACGCUGGCGGCGUGCCUAAUACAUGCAAGUCGAGCGAAUCUUUGGGAGCUUGCUCCCAAAGGUUAGCGGCGGACGGGUGAGUAACACGUGGGCAACCUGCCUGUAAGACUGGGAUAACUUCGGGAAACCGGAGCUAAUACCGGAUAACAUAUGAGACCACAUGGUCUUAUAUUAAAAGAUGGCUUUUAGCUAUCACUUACAGAUGGGCCCGCGGCGCAUUAGCUAGUUGGUGAGGUAACGGCUCACCAAGGCAACGAUGCGUAGCCGACCUGAGAGGGUGAUCGGCCACACUGGGACUGAGACACGGCCCAGACUCCUACGGGAGGCAGCAGUAGGGAAUCUUCCGCAAUGGACGAAAGUCUGACGGAGCAACGCCGCGUGAGCGAAGAAGGUCUUCGGAUCGUAAAGCUCUGUUGUUAGGGAAGAACAAGUAUCGUUCGAAUAGGGCGGUACCUUGACGGUACCUAACCAGAAAGCCACGGCUAACUACGUGCCAGCCGCCGCCGUAACAC